AUUCUCUUUUGCAGCAGUGCUUCUUUAUAAAAGCUUUCUUCCACUUGCAGCCUUGUACCACUUCAACUUGCUUUUCUAGCAUUCGAGUAAACACAGAAAAGAAAGAGAGAAAAUAUGGCAGAGGCUAUUCCUUUUAGCAUUGUAACUGAAAUUCUGAAGAAGUUGGGCUCUUCAGCUCUGAAAGAGAUUGAAUUGGUGUGUAGUGUCAAAGAUGAGGCUCGCAAGAUGGGGGGUACGGUUUCCACAAUCAACGCUGUACUUCUUGAUGCGGAGAAGCAGCAAUCGACAAACCAUGAGAUUGGAGAUUGGCUUGCAAAGCUCAACGAUGCCGUUUAUGAUGCUGAUGACUUGCUGGAUGACUUCUCCACAGAAUCUUUGCGGCGGAAGGUGAUGACUCAGAAUAAAGGGGUCAAGAAGGUACGUAUCUUUUUCUCAAGCUCAAAUCAGCUUAUUUUUAGUCUCAAGACAGGUCAUAAAAUUAAGGCCAUUCGUGAGAGACUAGAUGCUAUCUCAGCAGAUAGGGAUGGUUUUCACUUUACUGAACAACCGCUAGAGAUUGGAUCUGAGACUAAGAUCUCCAGGGAAAGUCAUUCUUUUGUGUGUGUGGAUAAAGUUAUUGGGAGGGAGGAUGAUAAAAAGGCAAUUGUAAAAUCAUUGAUGAAUUGUAAUGUUCAAGAGAAUGUGUCGGUUGUUGCAAUUGUUGGAAUCGGGGGAAUAGGAAAGACUGAACUUGCAAAGUCGGUAUACAAUGAUGACGAGGUCAGUAAACAUUUUGAACGUAAGAUGUGGGUGUGUGUUUCUGAUGUCUUUGAUGUAAAACAAAUUGUUGAAAAAGUCGUAGAAAGUGCAAGCGGUAAGAAACCGGAGGGUCUUCAGAUGGAUAGAGUGCAAAAUGACCUUAGGAGAGAAAUUGAGGGGAAAAAAUAUCUGCUUGUGUUGGAUGAUGUGUGGAAUGAGGAUGGGGAACAAUGGAUAAGAUUGCAAGGUCUGUUGAUGGGUGGUACAAAGGGAAGUAUGAUUCUGAUAACAACUCGUAGUGAAUUAGUUGCAACUGUUUCAAAGACAAAUUCAAUGUAUACUUUGAAAGGCUUGUCUGGGGAAGAGUCUUGGUCUCUAUUUAAGCAACUGGCAUUUAAAGACGGAAAAGAGCCCGAUAAUCCAUGUCUAGUGGAAAUAGGGAAGGAAAUUACGGAGAAGUGUGCUGGAGUUCCUCUAGCCAUAAGGAUUUUAGGAAGCCUAUUAUACUCUAAAGAUACUGAGAAAGAGUGGUUUAAUUUUAAAGAUAAAGAUAUGGCAAAAAUAGCUCAAGAGACGGAAAUUAAACCAAUGUUGAAGUUAAGCUAUGAUCACCUUCCCUCGUAUCUAAAGCAAUGUUUUGCAUUUUGUCGCUUAUAUCCUAAAGAUCAUAUAAUUGAUAAGCAAGAAUUGAUCCAAUUGUGGAUGGCACAUGGAUUUAUUCAGUUGUCGGAUAAAAGUCAAGAUAUGGAGGAUGUUGGAGAUUCAUACUUUAUGGAUUUACUGAGGAGAUCCUUUUUUCAAGAUGAUGAAAGAGAUGAUUUUGGUAAUGUAAUAAGUUGUAAAAUGCAUGAUCUUAUGCAUGACCUUGCGCAAUUAGUUGCGGGAAGUGAGAGUUCCAUAGUGAGUUUGGAUGCAAAAGAUGUUUCUUCAAGAACUCGUCACAUGUCGUUUGAUUUGUCUAUGGGUAUAAAUUUUUUAGGGACAAUUCCAACUCACUUGCUUAGAGAUAUCAAGAUAAGAACAUUUUUAAUGCCAAGCACUACAUAUAUGAAACUGGAAAAAUCGGUGUGUGAAAUGAUUGUUUCAAUUUUCAAAAGGUUACGUGUGUUGGAUAUGCAUAACUUGGGGAUGAAGACAGUGCCGAGUGGCAUAAGUGAGCUGAGGCAUCUGAGGUAUCUUGAUCUUUCCUACAAUGGUGAGAUUAAGACUCUGCCAAAUUCCAUUACCAAGUUGCAAAAUUUGCAAACCCUAAAACUUAAUCGUUGUGAGCAUCUCAAAGAAUUGCCAAGAGAUAUUAGAAAAAUGGUGAGCCUUAGACAUCUCGAAUUUGAUGGUUGCAUUCGUGUGAGUGAUGAUAUGCCGCGUGGGAUGGGCCAGCUGACUUCUCUUCGAACAUUAACACAGUUUAAUGUGGGUCCAUGUAACAGGUUAAGGGAAUUGAAAGAUCUAAACAAUUUAAGGGGAGAGCUAAAAAUUAACCUACCAGUGGAAUGGGCAACAUUAAAAGAAGAAGCAGAGGAAGCGAACUUGAAGGGGAAGAAAUACCUCGAGUCACUGAGUUUGAGUUUUUGGAACUCUAAAAAGGAGGAGGAGGAGGAGGAGGAGGAGGAAGAGGAGGAGGUGUUAGUGUUGGAAGCUCUCCGGCCACAUGCAAAUCUGAAGGAGCUCAGAAUAUAUGGGUAUGGUGUUGUGAGAUUACCAACAUGGAUGAUAUCAUUGUCGUCCUUCCUCCCAAAUCUUGUUCAUGUUUCUUUAUUUGAGUGUAAUGGAUGCAAACUUCUUCCAAAAUUUGAGCAGCUUCCUUCUCUCCGAGCUCUUAUUCUUGGUGGUUUAACUUCCAUAGAGUACAUAGAUGACAAUUACAGUACUUGUAGUAGUACUGGUACUGGUGGUGGUAAAGAAUUAGAUGAUGAGUCCUUAAUCUCUUCUUCUUUUCCAUCGUCAUCAUCAAGAGGAGGAAGACGAGAGCCAACAACAAGAACAUUCUUUCCAUCACUGAAAUGUCUCGAACUCUGGGACAUGCCUAAUUUGAAGGGAUGGUGGAGGAGUAAAGCAGCAGCAGCAGAAGAUGAAAAACAAUCAACAGCAAACAAUCAAGAAGUGCAACUACUUCUACCAUCAUUUCCUUGUCUUCUUCAAUCAGAGAUCACGGACUGCCCUAGGCUAACAUCAAUGCCUCUGCAACCAACUGUUGUAAAACUAGAAUUGUGGAAUGUCAGCGAGAAGGUAGUACAACAGCAGUUACUGAUGAUGCCAACACCAACUACUCUGACAGUUGCAACGCCAUCUUGUUCUGCUUCACCUGUUCCUCUUUCCAACUUAGAGGAACUGUAUAUAGGGAAGAUAGAGGAUCUAGUUACUCUGCCAGAAGUGGCAUUCCAGCGCCUCACUUCUCUACGGAGACUAAAGAUUUGUUAUUGUGGAAGACUAACCUCUCUGUCCAGAGGGAUGCGACAUCUCACCACCCUCCGGUUUCUCGAGAUCAACUGUUGCAAAGAGCUUGAUUUGUCAGACGGUGAUGAUUAUGGCAUGCAUUUUCAAGGCCUUAACAACCUAACAUCUCUUGAUAUUUUCACGAUCCCAAAGUUGAAGUCUCUUCCUGCGGGGCUUCAGCGCCUUACCACUCUCCAAUCUCUAUUCAUCUCAGAUUGUGACAAUUUGAGAAGUUUACCAGAGUGGAUAGGCAAUCUCACAUUACUUCAACAACUUUACAUUUCCAAUUGCCCGAGAUGGAAAACACUGCCCGAAGGGAUGCGUCGGCUCACCGCGUUACAACAUCUGCAAAUUGAAUAUUGUUCACAGGAACUAAAUGAUAGAUUCCAAAAGGAAACGGGUAAAGAUUGGCGCAAGAUUGCUCACAUCCCAAAUGUUCAAAUACGUACAUCUUACACAUAGAAGUAGAUGCAAGCAUAGCAUGAACAGGGCCUCUCAUCUGUGCAGUCUCUUUUCUUGAUGAACAUUGAACAGGGCCUCUCAGCUUUAUCCACUCUAUUUUUCACACCAAAUUCUUGGAUCCACGUACGAGUGUAGGGAUCAUCUGGAGUGAGAACUCAUUCCAUGAGCAAUGCAACUACUCAAUAGAGAAACAUGUAAUCCAGCCUACCCAGACCAACAAAAGGAUCCAGAAGUGCCCACGUUGCUAAAAUCUACUGCGAAGGAAAGCUUGCUCCAAACUUGUAAUCAACUAAAGAAACUUAGUCCCGAAGAUUUAUGCAACUAUUACGCGGACACGUGGAAGGACUGCUGAGGCUGGUGGCGGUUAUGUGAUAGGGGGUGAGGAUGGUUGUGUUGUCAAGGCAGCUGUGUUCUUUUUCACUCAUGUGGCUGAUGCUUCAUCUGCUGAGGCUUUGGUGCUGAAACAGACUUUGACAGUUGCUGCUCAACAAGGGUUGGUGAGGUUUUGUAUUUAAAUUAAAGGUGAUGCUCAAGCUGUUGAAUGAAGGUAUUCCAGCUGUUGUUACUGAGGAUAUCAGAGUAUUGAGUGCCAAUUAGCAAUCGAAUAUAUUCCUGGAGUUGCCAAUCUAUUGGCCCAUGAUCUUUUGCCAAUGUGGUUAGCUGAGGUGGUGAAUCUUUAUUGUAAUUUCAAAAUUUUGAUUAAUAAGUUUCUUUUGCCAUGGAAAGAAAAAACAAAAGUAUGUGUUCGUUUCUCAAAGCCGCCUGUGUGUAAAAUAAAAUGCAAGAGUAUUUUAUGGUA